CGUAGGGGCGAGCGUUAUCCGGAUUCAUUGGGCGUAAAGCGCGCGUAGGCGGCCAGUUUGGUCGGGAGUCAAAUCCGGGGGCUCAACCCCCGCCCGCUCCCGAUACCGGCUGGCUUGAGUCUGGUAGGGGAAGGCGGAAUUCCCAGUGUAGCGGUGGAAUGCGCAGAUAUUGGGAAGAACACCGGUGGCGAAGGCGGCCUUCUGGGCCACGACUGACGCUGAGGCGCGAAAGCUGGGGGAGCGAACAGGAUU
rnacentral:rRNA from 1 species